rnacentral:rRNA from 1 species
AAUACAUGCAAGUCGAACGAACUUCCGUUAAUUGAUUAUGACGUACUUGUACUGAUUGAGAUUUUAACACGAAGUGAGUGGCGAACGGGUGAGUAACACGUGGGUAACCUGCCCAGAAGUAGGGGAUAACACCUGGAAACAGAUGCUAAUACCGUAUAACAGAGAAAACCGCAUGGUUUUCUUUUAAAAGAUGGCUCUGCUAUCACUUCUGGAUGGACCCGCGGCGUAUUAGCUAGUUGGUGAGGUAAAGGCUCACCAAGGCAGUGAUACGUAGCCGACCUGAGAGGGUAAUCGGCCACAUUGGGACUGAGACACGGCCCAGACUCCUACGGGAGGCAGCAGUAGGGAAUCUUCCACAAUGGACGCAAGUCUGAUGGAGCAACGCCGCGUGAGUGAAGAAGGGUUUCGGCUCGUAAAGCUCUGUUGUUAAAGAAGAACGUGGGUAAGAGUAACUGUUUACCCAGUGACGGUAUUUAACCAGAAAGCCACGGCUAACUACGUGCCAGCAGCCGCGGUAAUACGUAGGUGGCAAGCGUUAUCCGGAUUUAUUGGGCGUAAAGCGAGCGCAGGCGGUCUUUUAAGUCUAAUGUGAAAGCCUUCGGCUCAACCGAAGAAGUGCAUUGGAAACUGGGAGACUUGAGUGCAGAAGAGGACAGUGGAACUCCAUGUGUAGCGGUGAAAUGCGUAGAUAUAUGGAAGAACACCAGUGGCGAAGGCGGCUGUCUGGUCUGCAACUGACGC